CACGACGGGAUAGGGUCCCGAAGGUCGGA
rnacentral:sRNA from 1 species